rnacentral:lncRNA from 1 species
ACAGGAAAACAUGGAAUAUCAGUGCCAAACACGUGUGGACACCAUCCCAUCAAGUGCAGCACUGACAUCCAUAGCAAGCUAUCUGUGCUGCUAAAAAGCUGGCAAAACUUUAUCAGGCAUCAGAAAACAGAAGGUGAGAGAGUAUGAGCAUGUGUGUGUGUGGAGAGUGAUGGAAGGGGGAGAAGGUAGUGAAGGAGAGAUCCAGAAA